rfam:Camelus ferus unplaced genomic scaffold scaffold593, whole genome shotgun sequence.
GAGAGUAUAGCUCAAGUGGUAAAGCAUAUGCUUAGCAUGCACAAGGUCCUGAGUUCAAUCCCCAGUAUCUCC